rnacentral:lncRNA from 1 species
AGGCUGCGCUGCUGUCAGACGUGUCCAUCACCACAUGUGACAUUAAUGACAUCAUCCUGACCUCGCAGGAUCCCAGAAUAAUGAUGCUUGAAGGAUUUUCCAAAGUCAUCUACUUCCAACUCUCUUGAAAACUUUAAAGACAUUGGGCCUGAAAGUUUCAGUGACUUGUCCAGGGAAACCCGGUUUAUGACAGAAGGAAAACUGCAGUUCCCUCUCAGAUAAGUCACCAAAAGCAUCUUAUCAAAGGGGCCUUCUGAGAAAUACAUCCCAGCUGAAACGAACAAAAGUUCCUGCCUUCAAGCAUCCCAUCUCUUUUCUGUGAAUUGUCUGUACCAAGAGGUAAAUAAUAUUACUGAGAAAAAUAGAUAAAUGGUACAUACUGAGUAUUUUUCUGCUAAGUUAAUUUUAAUGAAAGAAUACUGUCCUAUCCUUUGGUGUAGUUUAAUUCAACUAAUCUGUUGGUUUUUUUCUUUGUGUUAGUCAGAAGGACACGUAUUAUUAUUAAAUCAAUCAAGAAAAGUUUAUGUUCACUCAGUAAAAAACUGCAGUUGGUCAUUGCAGAGUCACACAAAGACAGGUGGUGCUGCCUGUCCCUGAUCCUCCUCGUGCCUUUUCAAGGCCCAGAGGGCCCUCUGUCUGGGGGAGGAUGAUCCCCAGCUGGGGUGCUGAUGUGGGGAGGUGACUCUAGGAGCUGUGGCAGGUCAAAUCUCAGGACCCUUGUCUUCCUUCUGUCCCCUCAGCUGAGCCACAGUUCUCUACACUCACCCAGGAGCCACAGAAAGUGAACAUCCCUCAGGUAUCAGUGUCAUUCAAGGACGUGAGUGUGGAGUUCCCCAGGAGGAGUGGCAGCAGAUGGACUCUGCACAGAGGACCCUGUACAGAGACGUGAUGAUGCUGGAGAACUACAACCGCCUCGUCUCUGUGGAACUGAGAUGUCAGCUCAACACUGAGUACAUGUGGCAUAAAAUCAGAGUUGGAAAAGGAGGACCAUCACCAAAUGCAAUGUAUGUUCCUCUGGAAAACCCAAAGCAGCCUAGAGUGAAGUAUGGGGAACAAAACAGAAAAAAAAAAAUAAUGGAGAAAAGGUCAAGCUUGCAACUUCUAUUUCCAGGCUUCACAAGGUACACUGGUACUUUCCAACCCUGA